AAUCCUCACUUCCGGGAUGAAAAGCAAAGACAAGCGCGUGGUGCACGUGUUGAAGGAGCCUCAUGGAUCAACACGGGGAAAGAAUAAUAUAUGUAUUAUAAUUUAAUUUCCUACUGAGUGGGAAUUAAAAGCCUGAUGAUUAUCAACCCCAUGAAGCGCCUCGACACGCUGCACAGGUGGGAAUUAAAAGCCUGAUGAUUAUCAACCCCAUGAAGCACCUCGACACACUGCACAGGUGGAUGAUGAUGAUGACGACGAUGUACAGCGGAUGGAAGUGAAUGCUGCGUCCCAACACCAUUUACAUUCACGUUGAAUGAUUUUAGCAGAGCGUUUUAUGUUUUGGUGUACAGUGUCAUGAUUUGUUUGCGAGGAAACAAUAUUUAAAGAGGAAAAGCUGAAAGAUUCAGUACAAAAACAUGAAAUCCACUGCUUUUACAAUCCUUAAAGUAAGAAAAUCUAAGUAUACUGUAAUGCUUUAUCAAUAUUAGAGAAAAACGAUGUAACAUACUGUAUGAACCCAAAUGUCCUCGUUACCCCUCACUCACUUGGUGUUAACGCGAGCCUGUUUCUGGAUGAUCAAUAGACAAAUCACGGGUCUGCCGUGAAAGGACGCAUCACAAAGUCUUACAGGACUCCGCCCAGAUUUUACUGGCAUCUUAAACAGUUAUCUUCUGAUGAAUAACAGCGAGCGCUGGAAUUGUGCAGUCUGAAACACUGUGGCGUCACUCAGUCAGGUGUGGUUUAGUUAGAUAGACGGGUAAUAAAGUGACUUAUUAACUACACAGGUAAGUUCUGUCUGUCUCUUUGUUGCAAAUGUAUUAAUUUUAUGCCGAGUUCUAAUAAAGAUUGGUCUCCCAGC